UCGGGUGUGGUGUAUGGCACAUCCUCCCUCCCACUUAUUUGUUAGCUAGGUUGAUGGGAAAGACCCGGGUUCGAUUCCCGGCGCCCGAA